AUUUAUGGUCAUACCACCCUAACACACCCAGUCUCCUCUGAUCUUGGAAGGUAAGCAGGGUUGGACUGCUAAGGGCUUAGUACCUGGAUGGGAGGAAGUCCUAUCUU
rnacentral:rRNA from 1 species